AUCACAGCUCAGCCUCACUGCUUCAAAGACGAACAAUUCACACCUUCAGUUCCUGCAGUAUCCACACGAACUGGAAGAAUAAAACCAAAGAAGUUCAUCACCUUUUUAUCAUUCACGUGUGCAUGGUAUCAUUUGCUCACGGACGGUGUUAAUUACACAGAAUGCAUGUGAAGCGUUUCUACAAGCCAUUAUGUGGAAAUGACAUAAUUGGCCUGAGUGGAUGUCAUUUGAUCUCACGCUUCUUUGUCGUCUAUUUAUAUCCUUUUCUUUAAGCUUCAGUCGAAGGCGCGACCGCCUCAUGCAGGCUGUUGCUAAGAGACAGCUUCAUCGUUUGUUGCCAAGGGUUUCAAUCAUCUAAUUACCAUGGCAAUGGGUUGAUUGAAAUAGCACUGACUAGUAGGGGUGGGCGAUAUGGACUUUAAGUUUUAUCAUGAUAUUUUAAAGUACUAUUGCAAUAAUGAUAAAAGUAACGAUAAGAAAUAUUUACUUGUUGUUAGGUAACAGUUUGACUGCAUGGACAGAUCUAGAAAAACAUUUGAUCUGUGUGAACUGCACACAGUAACUGCAUUUAAUUUUAUUUUCAAAUGUUUUGGUAUUUAUUGAAACUUUUAGUGAACAUCGGAGAAAAUAGUAAAAAUAACAAUCCUGACAUUAGUUACAGGUUUCUUUAAACAUCAGUAAUUGGAGUUUAUUGUGACAAUAAAAGUCAAAAUUCAUAUAAGAAAUUUAUCACAAUAAAUGAUAAAUGAUGUCAGUGCUCACCUGUACUGACCAACACUUCAGUUACCAAACGGUUGCCGGGUAGAAUCAGAAUCAUUAUUUAUACUAAAUAUUUUGUUUACAUGUUUGACAUGACUUUUUUCAGGUUGAGUCUCUGAAUGGACAAAAGAAUAAAAUAAUAGAUUAACAGCA